AUUGAACGCUGGCGGCAUGCCUUACACAUGCAAGUCGAACGGCAGCACGGAGCUUGCUCUGGUGGCGAGUGGCGAACGGGUGAGUAAUAUAUCGGAACGUACCCUAGAGUGGGGGAUAACGUAGCGAAAGUUACGCUAAUACCGCAUACGAUCUAAGGAUGAAAGUGGGGGAUUCGCAAGAACCUCAUGCUCGUGGGGCGGCCGAUAUCUGAUUAGCUAGUUGGUAGGGUAAAAGCCUACCAAGGCAUCGAUCAGUAGCUGGUCUGAGAGGACGACCAGCCACACUGGAACUGAGACACGGUCCAGACUCCUACGGGAGGCAGCAGUGGGGAAUUUUGGACAAUGGGCGAAAGCCUGAUCCAGCAAUGCCGCGUGAGUGAAGAAGGCCUUCGGGUUGUAAAGCUCUUUUGUCAGGGAAGAAACGGUGAAAGCUAAUAUCUUUUGCUAAUGACGGUACCUGAAGAAUAAGCACCGGCUAACUACGUGCCAGCAGCCGCGGUAAUACGUAGGGUGCAAGCGUUAAUCGGAAUUACUGGGCGUAAAGCGUGCGCAGGCGGUUUUGUAAGUCUGAUGUGAAAUCCCCGGGCUCAACCUGGGAAUUGCAUUGGAGACUGCAAGGCUAGAAUCUGGCAGAGGGGGGUAGAAUUCCACGUGUAGCAGUGAAAUGCGUAGAUAUGUGGAGGAACACCGAUGGCGAAGGCAGCCCCCUGGGUCAAGAUUGACGCUCAUGCACGAAAGCGUGGGGAGCAAACAGGAUUAGAUACCCUGGUAGUCCACGCCCUAAACGAUGUCUACUAGUUGUCGGGUCUUAAUUGACUUGGUAACGCAGCUAACGCGUGAAGUAGACCGCCUGGGGAGUACGGUCGCAAGAUUAAAACUCAAAGGAAUUGACGGGGACCCGCACAAGCGGUGGAUGAUGUGGAUUAAUUCGAUGCAACGCGAAAAACCUUACCUACCCUUGACAUGGCUGGAAUCCUUGAGAGAUCAGGGAGUGCUCGAAAGAGAACCAGUACACAGGUGCUGCAUGGCUGUCGUCAGCUCGUGUCGUGAGAUGUUGGGUUAAGUCCCGCAACGAGCGCAACCCUUGCCAUUAGUUGCUACGAAAGGGCACUCUAAUGAGACUGCCGGUGACAAACCGGAGGAAGGUGGGGAUGACGUCAAGUCCUCAUGGCCCUUAUGGGUAGGGCUUCACACGUCAUACAAUGGUACAUACAGAGCGCCGCCAACCCGCGAGGGGGAGCUAAUCGCAGAAAGUGUAUCGUAGUCCGGAUUGUAGUCUGCAACUCGACUGCAUGAAGUUGGAAUCGCUAGUAAUCGCGGAUCAGCAUGUCGCGGUGAAUACGUUCCCGGGUCU
rnacentral:rRNA from 1 species